GGUUCCUGCAGGGUCAUUGGGCCUGAAAUGCCAUCCGCUGACCUACUUGCUGCAGCAGCCAAGCUAACAGAAGCUGAAGCAGAACUAAGAGAGGCUGAGUUGGAUGGAGACGACGAUCUAUUUAUAGGACCUCCACCUCCUGCUGUUGUUAAAGAAGCUGAGUCUACAAAUGAAGCUGAGCGUUUUGAGGAGAUUACAAGAAUAAUUGGUGCCGAGGCAGAUAGUCCAUAUGCUGGGUACUAAAGGUGGAACUGCAGUGCUUAGUAAUUGCUUUCUCUUCACUUGGCCAUUCUUGCAUCUUUUCCUGCUCUAUUGACUUGUAUACAUUAUUUUUUUCUGGAUGAAGUUGUUUGCUGAUAUUUUAUUGUUUAGGUAUUGGAAGUUGUCUCUAAUGGUUCAUCCUGACAAAUCUUCUCAUCCUCAAGCUCACCAAGCUUUUGUUAAGUUGAAUAAAGCAUUUAAAGAUUUACAGGAUAAUAGACAGCAGAUAACCAGAAAAGGCAACAUCCAUUAAUGGCGUCAAUGCAGAAACAUUAUACUACUCGUGGGAAUCAUGUCGCAAUGUUUUCGCCUCUUUUUUGGGGGCCACAGCAGAUAAGUAGAACUGCAGAAGCAUUGCUCAAAAACAUGUUCAAAUUCUCCGAGGCUUGCUGAAGAAGUUGCAGUCAUCUUUUGAGGUGCAUUGGAUGGGUCUGCUGACUAACAGAGUGGAGAGGCAUGAAAUCAAACCCGGGGAUCAUAUCUACACUUACAGAGCAGUCUUCGCUUACUCUCAUCACGGUAUCUUUGUUGGGGGUAGCAAAGUAGUUCAUUUCACCCGUGUUGGAAACAUUUCCAGCUCGGACUCUGAAGUAUACGACGAAGCUGAAGAAUGCCCGACCUUUCCUGAC